rnacentral:tRNA from 1 species
GAUUUUUUAACUAUAUAAAGUAUAUAUUUUGAAAAUAUAAAAAAGAGAUAUUCUCUAAAAAUCU